UAAAGUCAUCCUAUUGUAUCAGUCCAGAUUAAAGUCAUCCUAUUGUAUCAGUCCAGGUUAAAGUCAUCCUAUUGUAUCAGUCCAGAUUAAAGUCAUCCUAUUGUAUCAGUCCAGGUUAAAGUCAUCCUAUUGUAUCAGUCCAGGUUAAAGUCAUCCUAUUGUAUCAGUCCAGGUUAAAGUCAUCCUAUUGUAUCAGUCCAGGUUAAAGUCAUCCUAUCUGCCCAGUCCAGAUUAAAGUCAUCCUAUUGUAUCAGUCAAGGUUAAAGUCAUCCUAUUGUAUCAGUCCAGAUUAAAGUCA